rnacentral:rRNA from 1 species
GCCAGACUCCUACGGGAGGCAGCAGUGGGGGAUAUUGCACAAUGGGGGGAACCCUGAUGCAGCGACGCCGCGUGGGUGAAGGAGUGCUUCGGCAUGUAAAGCCCUAUCGGCAGGGAAGAAGCAAGACGGUACCUGACUAAGAAGCCCCGGCUAACUACGUGCCAGCAGCCGCGGUAAUACGUAUGGAGCAAGCGUUAUCCGGAUUUACUGGGUGUAAAGGGAGCGCAGGCGGCCUUGCAAGUCUGAUGUGAAAGGCCGGGGCCCAACCCCGGGACUGCAUUGGAAACUGCGAGGCUGGAGUGUCGGAGAGGCAGGCGGAAUUCCUAGUGUAGCGGUGAAAUGCGUAGAUAUUAGGAGGAACACCAGUGGCGAAGGCGGCCUGCUGGACGAUGACUGACGCUGAGGCUCGAAAGCGUGGGGAGCAAACAGGAUUAGAUACCCUAGUAA